rnacentral:rRNA from 1 species
CCUACGGGUGGCAGCAGUGAGGAAUAUUGGUCAAUGGGCGGAAGCCUGAACCAGCCAAGCCGCGUGAGGGAUGAAGGUACAGAGUAUCGUAAACCUCUUUUGUCAGGGAACAAAGGCGGGGACGUGUCCCCGGAUGAGUGUACCUGAAGAAAAAGCAUCGGCUAACUCCGUGCCAGCAGCCGCGGUAAUACGGAGGAUGCGAGCGUUAUCCGGAUUUAUUGGGUUUAAAGGGUGCGCAGGCGGUCUGUUAAGUCAGCGGUCAAAGCCCGGGGCUCAACCCCGGCCCGCCGUUGAAACUGGCAGUCUCGAGUUGGAGAGAAGUAUGCGGAAUGCGCGGUGUAGCGGUGAAAUGCAUAGAUAUCGCGCAGAACUCCGAUUGCGAAGGCAGCAUGCCGGCUCCACACUGACGCUGAGGCACGAAAGCGUGGGUAUCGAACAGGAUUAGAUACCCGGGUAGUC